ACGGGUGAGUAAUGCAUCGGAACAUGUCAUUGAUGGGGGAUAGCCCGGCGAAAGCCGGAGUAAUACCGCAUGAGCCCGAGAGGGGGAAGUGGGGGACCGCAAGGCCUCACGUCGAUGGGUUGGCCGAUGUCCGAUUAGCUAGUUGGUGGGGUAAAGGCUCACCAAGGCGAUGAUCGGUAGCUGGUCUGAGAGGAUGAUCAGGCACACUGGGACUGAGACACGGCCCAGACUCCUACGGGAGGCAGCAGUGGGGAAUUUUGGACAAUGGGGGCAACCCUGAUCCAGCCAUUCCGCGUGAGUGAAGAAGGCCUUCGGGUUGUAAAGCUCUUUUGUCCGGAACGAAACGGGCGGCGUGAAUAGCGUCGUCUACUGACGGUACCGGAAGAAUAAGCCCCGGCUAACUUCGUGCCAGCAGCCGCGGUAAUACGAAGGGGGCUAGCGUUGCUCGGAAUGACUGGGCGUAAAGGGCGCGUAGGCGGACAGGUUUGUCAGGCGUGAAAUUCCAGGGCUCAACCUUGGGGCUGCGUUUGAGACGGGUUGGCUUGAGUUCGGAAGAGGGU
rnacentral:rRNA from 1 species